GGAAAACUCACCAGGUCCAGACAUAGGAAGGAUUGACAGAUUGAAAGCUCUUUCUUGAUUCUAUGGGUGGUGGUGCAUGGCCGUUCUUAGUUGGUGGAGUGAUUUGUCUGCUUAAUUGCGAUAACGAACGAGACCUCCGCUUGCUAAAUAGUACUAACAAAUUUGGUUUGUUUGAUACUUCUUAGAAGGACUUUGUAUGUCUAAUACAAGGAAGUUGGAGGCAAUAA
rnacentral:rRNA from 1 species